rnacentral:rRNA from 1 species
CCUACGGGCGGCAGCAGUGAGGAAUAUUGGUCAAUGGGCUUACGCCUGAACCAGCCAAGUCGCGUGAGGGAAGACUGCCCUAUGGGUUGUAAACCUCUUUUGUCAGGGAGCAACGCCGGCUACGUGUAGCCGGACUGAGAGUACCUGAAGAAAAAGCAUCGGCUAACUCCGUGCCAGCAGCCGCGGUAAUACGGGGGAUGCGAGCGUUAUCCGGAUUUAUUGGGUUUAAAGGGUGCGUAGGCGGAAUGUCAAGUCAGCGGUAAAAUCGCGGGGCUCAACCUCGCUCCGCCGUUGAAACUGGCGGUCUUGAGUGGAGGAGAAGUAUGCGGAAUGCGUGGUGUAGCGGUGAAAUGCAUAGAUAUCACACAGAACACCGAUUGCGAAGGCAGCAUACCGGCGCCCAACUGACGCUGAAGCACGAAAGCGUGGGUAUCGAACAGGAUUAGAUACCCUAGUAGUC